rnacentral:rRNA from 1 species
AUUGAACGCUGGCGGCAGGCCUAACACAUGCAAGUCGAACGGUAACAGGAAGCAGCUUGCUGCUUCGCUGACGAGUGGCGGACGGGUGAGUAAUGUCUGGGAAGCUGCCUGAUGGAGGGGGAUAACUACUGGAAACGGUAGCUAAUACCGCAUAAUGUCGCAAGACCAAAGAGGGGGACCUUCGGGCCUCUUGCCAUCUGCUGUGCCCAGAUGGGAUUAGCUUGUUGGUGGGGUAACGGCUCACCAAGGCGACGAUCCCUAGCUGGUCUGAGAGGAUGACCAGCCACACUGGAACUGAGACACGGUCCAGACUCCUACGGGAGGCAGCAGUGGGGAAUAUUGCACAAUGGGCACAAGCCUGAUGCAGGCAUGCCGCGUGUAUGAAGAAGGCCUUAGGGUUGUACAGUACUUUCAGCGGGGAGGAAGGGAGUAAAGUUAAUACCUUUGCUCAUUGACGUUACCCGCAGAAGAAGCACCGGCUAACUCCGUG